GAUGAACGCUGGCGGCGUGCCUAAUACAUGCAAGUAGAACGCUGAAGGAGGAGCUUGCUCUUCUGGAUGAGUUGCGAACGGGUGAGUAACGCGUAGGUAACCUGCCUGGUAGCGGGGGAUAACUAUUGGAAACGAUAGCUAAUACCGCAUGACAACAGUUAUUGCAUGAUAACUGUUUAAAAGGGGCAACUGCUCCACUACCAGAUGGACCUGCGUUGUAUUAGCUAGUUGGUGAGGUAACGGCUCACCAAGGCGACGAUACAUAGCCGACCUGAGAGGGUGAUCGGCCACACUGGGACUGGGACACGGCCCAGACUCCCACGGGAGGCAGCAGUAGGGAAUCUUCGGCAAUGGACGGAAGUCUGACCGAGCAACGCCGCGUGAGGGAAGAAGGUUUUCGGAUCGUAAAGCUCUGUUGUAAGAGAAGAACGAGUGUGAGAGUGGAAAGUUCACACUGUGACGGUAUCUUACCAGAAAGGGACGGCUAACUACGUG
rnacentral:rRNA from 1 species